rnacentral:misc_RNA from 1 species
UCCGGUUUAUCACCGGCAGUCUCCUUAGAGUCCCCGACAUGACUCGCUGGCAACUAAGGAUAGGGGUUGCGCUCGUUACGGGACUUAACCCAACAUCUCACGACACGAGCUGACGACAGCCAUGCAGCACCUCUAGAGUAGUCCGGUAAAGGACAUUGACAUCUCUGCCAACUUCCACUCCAGUUCAAGCCCAGGUAAGGUUCUUCGCGUUGCGUCGAAUUAAUCCACAUAAUCCACCGCUUGUGCGGGUCCCCGUCAAUUCCUUUGAGUUUUAACCUUGCGGCCGUACUCCCCAGGCGGUCGACUUCACGCGUUAGCUUCGUUACUGAGAGUGUCAAACCCCCAACAACCAGUCGACAUCGUUUAGGGCGUGGACUAC